AAUGGACUAAGUAGGAUUUCUGAGAUACUAAUGGACUAUGUAUGAAGUAUGAAUAUUAAUGGUAAUUACGGUCUGAUGAUGGUGAAGUGGGUGAUGAAGUGACUAUGGAUGAGGAUUAUUAAUGAAUUCAGAUUAAUGAUCAGUUGAUAAUUAGAUGAUGGGUAAUGAUGGACGAAUUAUUGUUAUAUUGAUAGUAUGAUGUGGAUUAAUAUAAUUAAUAAUAAUAGUAUUCGUAAAUGAUUAAAGAAUAGAUUGGUUCACAGGUUUCCUGUUUAAAGUGGCUAGUUAGGAGUUGAGCCUAGAUCGAGUGUUGGCUUUGGAAGCUUAGCUUGAGGUAAGUUUCUAUGUCCGUUUAAAUUACUUUGCCCUAUUAAAUGUGCUACUUAUUUAAGUUGUUUACUUAAAUUAUUUUAAAAUGUAUUUUGGAUCAA